CCGAGCUCAGGACUAAAUCACAACACCUAGUUUCUAACCCACUAAAUUACAUAUAGUUUAAAUUAUAGCACACACGAUAUUUGUAUUGAAGACCUAUUUGGAAUGUGUUUCUCCUUUACGUCAAUCUAAGCCAGCAACUGGACAAGUUACCUCAGCAAAGAUCCACAAGAUGGCGCAGAAACACCACAAACAUUCUGAAAACGCUUCAUCUGGUCAAAUGUCCCUUUAUUAUCACAACUGUUACAUAUAAUAAGUACAAAUUAUUAUUUUCAUGUAUGGAACUGCAAUAAAUCAUUUCAUUUAAAUAUAAAUAAGCAAUAUUAUAACACGCAUUAAAAUAGGGCUUUGUCAGUCACGUGUGUUUAGGUGACGUCACCGAUGCGCCUCUGAAUGUAUUGUUUGUUUGUUAGCGGUUUAGUGGAAGUAGCAGCAGAGACGCGAUUAUUACUGAUUUAUUCUUUUGAAGCAGUAAAAGUUGGAGAAACAGACGCGAAAUAAGAGGAAACAAUACCGAGACAAACUCAGCAAAGAUGUCACGGACUGUUAUUUGGAUAAAUGAUCAUCUGUUAGCAGCAUUGCUAAGCUAAGUUGUUUGCUAGCGGGUGGAACAGCGACCACGUGACUCUUGUAGCGGUAAAUGUGUGUGUUGUUUAUUUUGCACAAAGAGUUUUUAUUUUUUUGUCUGUGUCUAUUUACAAGUGCAAAUAAAGUAAAUAUAUUGAAACUUUACAUAACUGUA